CGUAGUAUUUUACACUUUGUUAUUGUUUUGUUGUUUUCACCUUGUAGUGGCUUGUAGCUUGUUUGUACAGGUUCGGAUCGAGUGAAGACGUGACGUGCUUAUCUUCUCCGUUAAUUCUGUAUUGUGUGUUUGUAUUUUGCUUCAUACAAAAUGUACGAGUGCUGUGUAUGUAAAAGUUCACGACAGGACGCUAUUUUACAUCAUUUUCCUCGCACUGAGAAAAGACUCAUGAAGUGGUUAAAGUAACUAAAUCGUGAUAAUCUGAAAAAGUUAUCACCAGAAGAACUUUCAAACGUUUUUGUAUGUCAAAAACACUUUGAAAAGAGGUUUAUUACGCCGAAAUUACGUCUCAUAGGCAGUGCAUAUCCAUCUUUGUUUACCGAAGACGAGAUUUCCUCUGGAAUACCAUCACAGGACAAUGCCGAAAACAUGGAUAUUGAUUUGGAGCAUAGUUACUUGCGUAAAAGACACUUUGACCACACAUACUUUCAAAGGGAACCACUAAAAGAAGUAAUUGCCUCUAGCUCCAGUGAGUCUCAGAAUGUGCCUGGCCCAUCGCAAAUUCCACUGCC